GGGUGACCUCCCUGCCGCCAGGCUUUGACAGGUCCUGGUGUUGAUGAUGACGGUGACAGCAUGGCCACAAUUUUCCUCUGAAGGCAGUUCAAAGUCCUAGCGAUAAUCUGGAGUCUGUUUUGCUACAGAAUCAGGGUCUCCUGACCCUUAACCUUGAUUUUUGCCGUGAAAGGCCUUCACAAAACUACGGUGUUGCUUUCUUUUACUUUCUAUUUCGGUUUUUUUUUUAAUUUUUUUUUUUUAGGCAUUAGUCAGAAAGAGUGAUUUUACUCUUACGAUGAUAUGAGCAAAAGGGAAGGCCAGAGCCAGAGAAGAGUCGAAGACGGGGCCCGGUUUCAAAUCGACUGAGACUCUUUACGGUGUGUCUGGCCAAUGUAAGUGGUGGGAUUUUGUCUCUGGUGUUUUGUUCCCGUUUGCACAGUGCUUUGCUCAGCGGUUGGUCCAGCGGCUUCAGAUCUACGAAGAGAUCUCGGCCACUGGUUCUAACCCAGGCCCAGCUGCAGUGGUUGGCGGCCCCCGCCUGCCCCCCCUGCCCACACCGCACGCCUCCGGCCUUCUGCCCGCCAUCUUUCUCCUGUGAGGCGUCAACUAUGUCCUGGUGCCCGUUUGGCCCCUGCACAUGUGCAACCCGCAAGUUUAGAUAAAGUAAACCGACACACAAGAGGUUUCGAAGGUUCGACGGUUCUUUGAUGCUCCAACCUUCUAUGUAGUUGAGACACUUCAAAUCAUCUCCUAAAACAAAAGGUAAGAAAUGGUUUUACAAAACUGUGGUACUUGAUGUGAGCACUUUGUGUGUGUGUGUGUAAGAAACUUUCUUCUUAUGCAUGGUCUCAUUUUAAUCCUACUCUCUGGUAGGUGUUUUUAACAAUGCUACAGAUGAAAAAUACACCUCGGAAGUGCAAGUAACUUCUCCAAAGUUCUAUAACAGGUCUAGGCUUCCCAUUCAGGUUCAAAUCCAAAGUGCUGCUGUCCCCACUCAUUUGGUUUACUUGCUUAUGAAGUAUUUUUGAAUAUGUACCAGGCAUAAUGUAUUAAUGAACAUGUAUCAGGCAUUAAUGUAUUAAUGACGUCCCAAACUGCAGGAACCUAAAGAGUUUUUGGUGGAGACAGGCCAGGAAAGAG
rnacentral:lncRNA from 1 species